rnacentral:lncRNA from 1 species
UUAAAGUGACCCGAAGACACCUUACCUUACACAUAUUUAAAUGGAAUGAUUUAUCUAUAUUCAUUCUUCAGUUUUAGGAAUGUAAAUGCGAAGCUUAGUAGUCACGUGAAGUAAAUCGGUCAACUUCAUUGAACCAGAGACGAGAAUAGAUUUGACAUUGGUGUAUGUGCUCUGACAAUAAAAGAACCUUCAGGCACAUCUGCAAUACACAGAAAAACAUAAUUUGUUCAACAAACUGCAUAUGAAGAAAGAAGGCAACACGAAAAGGAUAAAUACAGCUUGGCAGAGAAGGAUUCGGAUCUAAAGGGUCAAAUUUGGUAAGGCCAUCAGAUUGGUUAAUUGAAAAUUGUGCUACAAAGAAGAAGUUUAUUGAAGGCAUACUUAUCGUCAUAUCAACCUAAUUUUAUUUUCAUGGAACCUUUUCUAAAAGAAACCUUUGUUUCUUUAUAAUAUGUUUUUGAGGAAUACGAAACUUAUUUUUCUUUAAUAUUAUGUGGUAUCACGACAAUGCAAUAGACAUUUUGAUUUGUUACUUGCCAGUUUUCUCCAAACGAAGCCAUUACACAGAAGUAAGAUGGAAAAGGAAGGUUCUUCGUACUAAGAUUAACCUACAAUAAGCUUUCUCAACCUUGUGUAGAGUUACCAAUGGAUUGUGGCAUAGUUGAUUAGUUGAUAUAGAGUUGCGAGGAAAACUAAAAGUACAUGUAAUGGCUUCGCUUAUUUCAACAUGGACGAUUUUUUAUUUGUGGAACAGCUAGACACUUGCAGCUUAUGUGGAAAGCCAUAGAAGUUUGAAGUGCAUCUUCUUCUUCUUCUCUUUUUGGAGCAUGAAGUUGAUUGAUUCCAUGUUGUCUUUUCUGUUAAUUGGAAAUACUAUUUUGUUCG